GUUUUGUUGAGGUCUCAUAGUUAAUUGCAGGGGAAUAACAUAUAUAAAUAAGCCUCUCAAUAAGUUAGCUCUUGCGUAAACAAACAAACUCUCCCUACAUUAACUGUUUCACAACUAACAGCUAGAUUUCAUAACCAACUAUCAUUAGCUUCAAGUCACUCAGGAGGAGGAGCUGAACUUAUAUUUUGUCGCGAAAAUUCAGUAAUGGAAUUCCUAUACACUUUUUAUAAUAGCUUGAUAAGCUGAACGAACUGAUAAUAUCUUCUAUAUUCCUCAUGGCCAAUCAGAAGGUCUCUUGACUUCACGGAGUUGGACUGAAUUCUGAAAACAAUGGUAGAAACCAAAAUGAGGGAAUCUCUCAUACCAUGUUUCUUCGUUUACAUGAGUGUCCCAGUGCUCCCCAUCGCUGCUCUUUCCAUACUUGUGAAC
rnacentral:misc_RNA from 1 species